rnacentral:rRNA from 1 species
UACGUAGGGGGGCCAGCGUUGUCCGGAAUCAUUGGGCGUAAAGCGCGCGUAGGCGGCCAGAUAAGUCCGGUGUGAAAGUCAAAGGCUCAACCUUUGAAUGCCGCUGGAAACUGUCUGGCUUGAGUCCGGGAGGGGCGAGUGGAAUUCCUGGUGUAGCGGUGAAAUGCGCAGAUAUCAGGAGGAACACCAAUUGCGAAGGCAGCUCGCUGGGACGUUACUGACGCUGAGACGCGAAAGCGUGGGGAGCAAACAGG